rnacentral:rRNA from 1 species
UGAGGAAACUCACUUAGAGUAAUGUCUAAGUAUCAUUAAGUGAAUACAUAGCUUAAUGAGGGGAACUCAGGGAACUGAAACAUCUAAGUACCUGAAGGAAGAGAAAGAAAUUCGAUUCCGUAAGUAGCGGCGAGCGAACGCGGAAUAGCCCAAACCAAUAAAGUUUUCUUUAUUGGGGUUGCGGACAUAUCUUAAACGAAGAGGUAUCGUAAUUGAAGAGGUUUGGAAAGACCCACCACAGAAGGUAAUAGUCCUGUAUGUCAAACGAGAAAACUUCAGAUAUGAUCCAGAGUACCACGGGACACGUGAAACCCUGUGGGAAGCAGGAGGGACCACCCUCCAAGGCUAAAUACUACCUAGUGACCGAUAGCGUAUAGUACCGUGAGGGAAAGGUGAAAAGAACCCCGGGAGGGGAGUGAAAUAGAACCUGAAACCCUGCACUUACAAGCUGUGGAAGCACAUUUCUUGUGUGACCGCGUACUUUUUGUAGAACGGGCCAACGAGUUACGUUAAGUAGCAAGGUUAAGCACUUAAGGUGUGGAGCCGUAGCGAAAGCGAGUUUUAACUGAGCGUUCAGUUACUUGACGUAGACCCGAAACCGGGCGACCUACCCAUGAGCAGGAUGAAGCGAAAGUAAAAUUUCGUGGAGGUCCGAACCCACG